rnacentral:rRNA from 1 species
AUUGAACGCUGGCGGCAGGCCUAACACAUGCAAGUCGAGCGGCAGCACUUCGGGUGGCGAGCGGCGGACGGGUGAGUAACACGUAGGAAUCUACCUAGUAGUGGGGGAGUAGCCCGGGGAAACCGUACGGAUUAAUACCGCAUACGCUCUACGGAGGAAAGGGGGCGUUCGGCUCUCGCUAUUAGAUGAGCCUGCGUCGGAGUUAGCUAGUUGGUGGGGUAAAGGGACUCACCAAGGCGACGAUCCGUAACUGGUCUGAGAGGAUGAUCAGUCACACUGGAACUGAGACACGGUCCAGACUCCUACGGGAGGCAGCAGU